rnacentral:rRNA from 1 species
UACGGGGGGGGUAAGCGUUGUUCGGAAUUACUGGGCGUAAAGGGCUCGUAGGCGGCCAACUAAGUCAGACGUGAAAUCCCUCAGCUUAACUGGGGAACUGCGUCUGAUACUGGAUGGCUUGGAUCCGGAAGAGGGAUGCGGAAUUCCAGGUGUAGCGGUGAAAUGCGUAGAUAUCUGGAGGAACACCGGUGGCGAAGGCGGCGUUCUGGACUGCAACUGACACUGAGGAACGAAAGCCAGGGGAGCAAACGGG